rnacentral:rRNA from 1 species
UACGGAAGGCAGCAGUGGGGAAUAUUGCACAAUGGGCGCAAGCCUGAUGCAGCCAUGCCGCGUGUGUGAAGAAGGCCUUCGGGUUGUAAAGCACUUUCAGCGAGGAGGAAGGGUUCGGUGUUAAUAGCACUGUUCAUUGACGUUACUCGCAGAAGAAGCACCGGCUAACUCCGUGCCAGCAGCCGCGGUAAUACGGAGGGUGCAAGCGUUAAUCGGAAUUACUGGGCGUAAAGCGCACGCAGGCGGUUUUGUUAAGUCAGAUGUGAAAUCCCCGAGCUUAACUUGGAACUGCAUUUUGAAACUGGCAAGCUAGAGUCUUGUAGAGGGGGUAGAAUUCCAGGUGUAGCGGUGAAAUGCGUAGAGAUCUGGAGGAAUACCGGUGGCGAAGGGCGGCCCCUGGACAAAGACUGACGCUCAGGUGCGAAAGCGUGGGGAGCAAACAGGAUUAAGGAUACC